rnacentral:rRNA from 9 species
AUUGCCUCAGUAACGGCGAGUGAAGCGGCAAGAGCUCAAAUUUGAAAGCUGGCUCCUUCGGAGUCCGCAUUGUAAUUUGCAGAGGAUGCUUUGGGUGCGGCCCCCGUCUAAGUGCCCUGGAACGGGCCGUCAGAGAGGGUGAGAAUCCCGUCUUGGGCGGGGUGUCCGUGCCCGUGUAAAGCUCCUUCGACGAGUCGAGUUGUUUGGGAAUGCAGCUCUAAAUGGGUGGUAAAUUUCAUCUAAAGCUAAAUACUGGCCGGAGACCGAUAGCGCACAAGUAGAGUGAUCGAAAGAUGAAAAGCACUUUGAAAAGAGAGUUAAACAGCACGUGAAAUUGUUGAAAGGGAAGCGCUUGCGACCAGACUCGCCCGCGGGGUUCAGCCGGCAUUCGUGCCGGUGUACUUCCCCGUGGGCGGGCCAGCGUCGGUUUGGGCGGCCGGUCAAAGGCCCCUGGAAUGUAGUACCCUCCGGGGUACCUUAUAGCCAGGGGUGCAAUGCGGCCAGCCUGGACCGAGGAACGCGCUUCGGCACGGACGCUGGCA